GGUCACACUGCAGCAUUUGUUGAGAAAAAAUAAAUAAAUUUCGCGCGAUUUUUUUUUCGUGGUUUUAAUAUUGGCCAAUUGCUAAAAUGGCCGACGAGGACGACGAAGUCACACACAGAGUGGCGGCGCCGCCGGUGCGUAAGCCAGAUGACGAGACUGCGUUUCUGGAGUCAAUUGAGAUGGAAAACUUCAAGUCCUACCGCGGCCACAUUCUUGUGGGCCCUUUUAAGCAGUUUAACGCUGUUAUUGGCCCCAAUGGCUCCGGAAAGUCCAACUUCAUGGACGCCAUCAGUUUUGUGAUGGGUGAGAAGACCUCUAGCCUUCGCGUGAAGCGCCUGAACGAUCUGAUACACGGCUCCUCCAUUGGCAAGCCAGUGGCACGCAGCUGCUAUGUGACGGCAAAGUUUAUAUUGAACGAGGAGAAGCAUAUGGACUUUCAGCGCGCUGUGAUCAGUGGCUCCUCCGAAUACCGCAUCAAUGGAGAGAGCGUUUCGAGUAGCACAUACCUCAACAAGCUGGAAAAGAUUGGUAUUAAUGUGAAGGCAAAGAACUUUCUGGUCUUCCAGGGAGCUGUCGAGAAUAUUGCCAUGAAGACACCAAAAGAGCGCACAGCAUUGUUUGAGGAAAUCAGCGGCUCUGGCCUGCUCAAGGAUGACUACAAUCGCUUGAAGCAGGAAAUGAUUGUGGCCGAGGAGGAGACACAGUUUACCUACCAAAAGAAGAAGGGCAUAGCAGCCGAGCGUAAAGAGGCCAAACACGAGAAAAUGGAAGCCGAGCGCUAUACACGUCUACAGAAUGAAUAUAACGACAAACAGGUGGAGUACCAACUGUUUCGCCUAUUCCACGUGGAGAAGGAUAUCCAAAAGUAUAUAGCCGACAUGGAGGUGAAGCAGCUGGAGGUAAAGGCUGUCGAGCAGCGUAAGGAAGCCGCCGACGAAGUGCUGCGCGAGAAGAAGAAGGACGCUGGCAAGAUAACACGCGAUUUGGCGAAAAUUGAUCAAGAGAUUCGUGAAUUCGAAACGCAAAUGAACAAACGGCGGCCGCUGUACAUCAAGGCCAAGGAGAAGGUCUCCCAUUGCAAGAAGAAGCUGAUUUCAUUGCAAAAGACCCUGGAGACGGCUCGCGAGGCGGACAACGCCCAUCAGCAGGACAUCCGAAAGCUGGAGAAGCAGUUGGCCGAUAUCGAGGAGCUGAAGAAGCGCUUCGAGGACGAGAUCGAGAACGAGUCGCAGCGGCGUGGCAAGAGUGUGAACAUGGAGGAGGGUCUCGUACAGGAGUACGACCGGCUGAAGCAGGAGGCCGAGGCCACGGCCACACAGUAUCGCUCAGAGCUGGAUUCGGUUAACCGUGAGCAGAAGUCUGAGCAAGACACUCUCGAUGGCGAAACUAACCGCAGAGCCUCCGUCGAGGAGUCGUUCAAGAAGCUGACAUUACAGCGCGAAGAGGCCGUCAAGCGACGCGACAAGCUCAUGGAUCACAUCAAAUCCUCGCAGGCAGCGCUAGAAGAACAGAAUCGCAUCAAGGAUGAGCUGCGCCGAGACGUUGGCAGCUCCAAGGAGAAGAUUGCCGAAAAGCAACGAGAGCUGGAGAAUGUGCGGGAACAAUUGGGCGACGCCAAGGGCGACAAGCACGAGGAUGCGCGCCGCAAGAAGAAACAGGAGGUCGUGGAGCUGUUCAAGAAGCAGGUGCCGGGUGUCUAUGAUCGCAUGAUCAACAUGUGUCAGCCCACACACAAACGCUACAAUGUGGCCGUCACCAAAGUCCUGGGCAAGUUCAUGGAAGCCAUCAUUGUGGACUCGGAGAAGACGGCGCGCCAUUGCAUUCAGAUAUUGAAAGAACAAAUGCUGGAGGUUGAGACCUUCCUGCCGCUUGAUUACCUACAAGUGAAGCCCCUGAAGGAGCGCCUGCGCAACAUCAGCGAGCCGCGCAACGUACGGCUGGUCUUCGAUGUGCUGAAGUUCGAGCCCCAGGAGAUCGAGCGCGCAGUGCUGUUUGCCACCGGCAAUGCGUUGGUCUGCGAGACGCCCGAGGAUGCCAUGAAGGUGGCCUACGAGAUUGAUCGAUCGCGCUUCGAUGCCCUCGCUUUGGAUGGAACAUUUUAUCAAAAGUCUGGACUCAUCUCCGGAGGCAGCCACGAUUUGGCGCGCAAGGCGAAACGUUGGGAUGAGAAGCACAUGGCCCAGCUGAAGAUGCAGAAAGAGCGACUCAACGAGGAGCUCAAAGAGCUGGUGAAAAAGUCCCGCAAGCAGAGCGAACUGGCGACUGUGGAGUCGCAGAUCAAGGGCUUGGAGAACCGCCUCAAGUAUAGCAUGGUCGAUUUGGAGUCAUCCAAGAAGUCAAUUGGCCAAUAUGACAAUCAACUGGCCCAAGUGCAAAGCCAGCUGGAUGAUUUUGGUCCAAAAAUCAGUGAAAUCGAACGUCGCAUGCAGAACCGCGAGGAGCACAUCCAGGAAAUCAAGGAGAACAUGAACAAUGUGGAGGACAAAGUAUUUGCCGCCUUCUGUCGCCGCUUGGGAGUGAAGAAUAUUCGCCAGUAUGAGGAGCGCGAGCUGGUCAUGCAGCAGGAAAGGGCACGAAAACGAGCAGAAUUCGAGCAGCAGGUCGAUGCGAUUAACUCUCAGCUGGACUUUGAGAAGCAAAAGGACACGCGAAAGAACGUUGAGCGUUGGGAGCGAAGUGUUCAGGAUGAGGAGGAUGCCUUGGAGGGUCUCAAAACGGCAGAGGCACGCUAUCUCAAAGAAAUCGAUGAGGACAAGGACAAGAUGGAAAAAUUCAAGCAGGAUAAGCAGUCCAAGAAGCAGGCUGUAGACGACAUGGAGGAGGACAUCUCCAAGGCGCGCCGAGACGUGGCCAAUUUGGCCAAAGAAAUUCACAAUGUUGGCAGCCAAAUGUCCUCCGUCGAGUCGAAGAUUGAGGCCAAGAAGAACGAACGCCAGAAUAUACUGCUGCAGGCCAAGACCGAUUGUAUUGUGGUGCCCUUGUCGCGUGGCUCGCUGGACGAUGCAGUGCGUGGUAGCGACGCGGACAACAGCACCAUGUCCAUGACGAUGGAUAAUCUCAUUGAAGUGGACUAUCGAUCGCUGCCACGCGAGUUUACCAAGCUCAAGGAUGAUUCCGCCUUCAAGAGGGCCAAUGAACAGCUGCAGAAGGAUCUGCAGGCUAAGCUGGAUGUCCUGGAGCGCAUACAGACACCAAAUAUGAAGGCAAUGCAGAAGCUCGAUGCCGUCACGGAGAAGGUACAAUCGACCAACGAGGAGUUCGAGAAUGCACGACGAAAGGCCAAAAAGGCCAAGGCAAACUUUGAAAAGGUGAAAAACGAGCGCUCCUCUCGGUUUGUGCAGUGCUGUCAGCACAUCUCCGAUGCCAUCGAUGGCAUUUACAAGAAACUGGCACGCAAUGAAGCGGCCCAGGCCUACAUUGGACCUGAUAAUCCUGAAGAACCCUAUCUGGAUGGCAUCAAUUACAAUUGCGUGGCGCCCGGUAAACGUUUCCAGCCGAUGAGCAACUUGAGUGGCGGUGAAAAAACCAUUGCUGCUUUGGCACUGCUCUUCUCCACCCACAGCUAUCAACCAGCGCCGUUCUUUGUGCUCGACGAGAUCGAUGCCGCCUUGGACAACACAAAUAUUGGCAAGGUUGCCUCGUACAUCAGGGAUCACACCACGAAUCUGCAGACUAUUGUCAUUUCCCUCAAGGAAGAGUUCUAUGGCCAUGCUGAUGCCCUUGUGGGCAUUACGCCAGCGGAGGGAGACUGUCUUAUAUCAAAUGUCUACAUAAUGGAUUUGACCAUCUACGAGGACAAUUAGCGAACUUAUUUUGGCUACCAAUUAACAUAAGAUACUGAUCUAUUACUUAUAGGGUCUAUAAUUUUGAAGAACAGAGCUCUCGUUGAUGGAUCUUCAACGCUUCUUUAUUGGAACAGCAUCUAUAUACAUCUAGAAAUAUCUGGGCCAAGCUAGAUUGGAUUUACGUUGAAGGCCUAAACGGAACAUCAUCGGAUAUCAACUGAUUGAGAGCACUACAGAACAACACGAUACUGCCUUAAAUCAUUGUGUCGUAAUGAUAGCACUAUGCUGAUGCUUACAAAAAUCGACCACUAUAGAUUAGCUUUAUACUUACACUUAAACCAAUCAGAAGCAUCAGU